rnacentral:rRNA from 1 species
GAAAGGACUGCUAAGACUGGAUAGGAAACAAAAAGGCAUCUUUUUGUUUUUAAAAGACCUUCUUAGAAAGGUAUGCUUAAAGAGGGGCUUGCGCCACAUUAGUUAGUUGGUAGAGUAAAAGCCUACCAAGACGAUGAUGUGUAGCUGGACUGAGAGGUUGAACAGCCACAUUGGGACUGAGACACGGCCCAAACUCCUACGGGAGGCAGCAGUAGGGAAUUUUCGGCAAUGGAGGAAACUCUGACCGAGCAACGCCGCGUGAACGAUGAAGUAUUUCGGUAUGUAAAGUUCUUUUAUUGAAGAAGAAAAAGUAGUGGAAAAACUAUAUUGACGUUAUUCAAUGAAUAAGCCCCGGCUAACUAUGUGCCAGCAGCCGCGGUAAGACAUAGGGGGCGAGCGUUAUCCGGAAUUAUUGGGCGUAAAGGGUGCGUAGGCUGUUAGAUAAGUCUAUAAUUUAAUUUCAGUGCUUAACGCUGUCUUGUUAUAGAAACUGUCUUGACUAGAGUGAGAUAGAGGCAAGCGGAAUUCCAUGUGUAGCGGUAAAAUGUGUAAAUAUAUGGAGGAACACCAGAAGCGUAGGCGGCUUGCUGGGUCUUUACUGACGCUGAGGCACGAAAGCGUGGGUAGCAAACAGGAUUAGAUACCCUGGUAGUCCACGCCGUAAACGAUGAGUACUAAGUGUCGGGGUAAAACUCGGUACUGAAGUUAACACAUUAAGUACUCCGCCUGAGUAGUACGUACGCAAGUAUGAAACUUAAAGGAAUUGACGGGACUCCGCACAAGCGGUGGAUCAUGUUGUUUAAUUCGAAGAUACACGAAAAAUCUUACCAGGUCUUGACAUACUCUGCAAAGCUAUAGAAAUAUAGUGGAGGUUAUCAGGAAUACAGGUGGUGCAUGGUUGUCGUCAGUUCGUGUCGUGAGAUGUUAGGUUAAGUCCUAAAACGAGCGCAACCCUUGUCGUUAAUUGCCAGCACGUAAUGGUGGGGACUUUAACAAGACUGCCAAUUAAACAUUGGAGGAAGGUGAGGAUUACGUCAAAUCAUCAUGCCCCUUAUGAUCUGGGCUACAAACGUGAUACAAUGGCUGUGACAAAGAGUAGCUGAAACGCGAGUUUUUAGCCAAUCUCAAAAAAGCAGUCUCAGUUCGGAUUGAAGUCUGUAACUCGACUUCAUGAAGUUGGAAUCGCUAGUAAUCGCGAAUCAGCAUGUCGCGGUGAAUACGUUCUCGGGGUUUGUACACGCCGCCCGUC